CUCAGGGAACAGAUCAGCUUUUUCUGACAGACAGUAAAUGAGAUGAACUAGCAAAGACACAGGAGUAAGGAGUUUUUCCUAAAGAGAGAACAAGAAUGGGGAAGAAACGAGGGAAGCAAAGGGCAAAUAUCUGUCUCCCCCAGGGUACAAGCUUCACAAGAAGGACGUGUAAUAUCAGCAACACAGAGAGCCAGCUAAGGCUCAUCCAGUCAUGCAACAAAUACUUUCUGAGCAUCUACUAUGCAGUGAGCACCACUCUGUGCCAAGGACACAACACUGAACAAGAUGAGUGAGCUUUCUGCUGUCGAGCUCACCUUCUAGAGGGGGAAGGAGUUUUGCCACAGCCAUGGCCCUGUGCUUGCCAGACCGUUUGCAGCUCACAGCCCAUUCACAUAACAGCGUCACCACAGCUUCAUCGUUGGGCGCAACCUAAUGACCAACAGAGAGGGGUACCAGCCACAUCAA